GAUGAACGCUGGCGGCGUGCCUAAUACAUGCAAGUCGAGCGAACAGAUAAGGAGCUUGCUCCUUUGACGUUAGCGGCGGACGGGUGAGUAACACGUGGGUAACCUACCUAUAAGACUGGGAUAACUUCGGGAAACCGGAGCUAAUACCGGAUAAUAUUUCGAACCGCAUGGUUUGAUAGUGAAAGAUGGUUUUGCUAUCACUUAUAGAUGGACCCGCGCCGUAUUAGCUAGUUGGUAAGGUAACGGCUUACCAAGGCGACGAUACGUAGCCGACCUGAGAGGGUGAUCGGCCACACUGGAACUGAGACACGGUCCAGACUCCUACGGGAGGCAGCAGUAGGGAAUCUUCCGCAAUGGGCGAAAGCCUGACGGAGCAACGCCGCGUGAGUGAUGAAGGUCUUCGGAUCGUAAAACUCUGUUAUUAGGGAAGAACAUACGUGUAAGUAACUGUGCACGUCUUGACGGUACCUAAUCAGAAAGCCACGGCUAACUACGUG
rnacentral:rRNA from 1 species